UACGUAGGGUCCAAGCGUUAAUCGGAAUUACUGGGCGUAAAGCGUGCGCAGGCGGUUGGCAAAGUCAGCUGUGAAAGCCCCGGGCUUAACCUGGGAAUGGCGGUUGAAACUAGUCGACUAGAAUCUGGCAGAGGGGGGUGGAAUUCCAGGUGUAGCGGUGAAAUGCGUAGAUAUCUGGAGGAACACCGGUGGCGAAGGCGGCAUCCUGGACCGACACUGACGCUGAGGCGCGAAAGCUAGGGUAGCAAACGGG
rnacentral:rRNA from 1 species